UACGAAGGGGACUAGCGUUGUUCGGAAUCACUGGGCGUAAAGCGCACGUAGGCGGAUAUGUCAGUCAGGGGUGAAAUCCCGGGCUCAACCUCGGAACUGCCUUUGAUACAGCAUAUCUUGAGUCCGAUAGAGGUGGGUGGAAUUCCUAGUGUAGAGGUGAAAUUCGUAGAUAUUAGGAAGAACACCGGUGGCGAAGGCGGCCCACUGGAUCGGUACUGACGCUGAGGUGCGAAAGCGUGGGGAGCAAACAGG
rnacentral:rRNA from 1 species